AUCUUCUUCUUCAGCUCCGACUCGCGAACUCGAAGCACCGUGUUCACUCCUUCGGUAAAGCACAGGCCCGACCAGAGCAUCGAUCGUUAUGGACAACCAACCUGGAUACGACUCUACAUAUCAGUCCAGCUUGGACGAAUCACAGAUACCCGCGUCUACUGGUAA